UUGGCUCAGUACUUUUUGAGCCAAAAUAAGUGCUGCCAUAAUAUUGUGCUUACUUGUCUGGCUGACUUCUUCUCACUUUCCAUUGUAGAUGUUUACUGGUGGUGAUAAUGUCACAAAGAAGAACCAGACUGAGCCCUGAAUCUGAGGCUGCUCCUUUUAUCUGGAGUCAACAAGCCUUGUUUGAAAGCCCAGUGGAUCAAUGAUUAUAAAGACACCAAGUGACGGGAUCUUGACUGAACCUUCUGGAGACCAAGAAGGGAGUGAGAGAGCCACUUCAUCCUUACAACAGACAUUAAGUGUUCCGAUCCUGAUGAAACCUUCUGAAGAUCAAGAAAGGAGUGGAAGAUCCACUUCUUCCUUAAACAGACACCAAAUGACAGGUACCUGACUGAACCCUCUGGAGACCAAGAAUGGAGUGAGAGAUCCACUACAUCCUUACAACAGACAUCAAGUGACAGGUACCUGACUGAACCCUCUGGAAACCAAGAAUGGAGUGAGAGAUCCACUUCAUCCUUACAACAGGUUACUAUUUCUUAUCAUGAUAUACUAGGUUUGAAUUUUCAAUGUUCUUUGACAAACACAGGAGAAGUUAUAAGUCAGAAACAUGGACUCUCCAUGAUUUCAGUCGUCAUGUCCUCAUAUUUCUUUAGACCUGAAAAACCCGAGUGUGUUUCAGGUGACAUGACUUUUGCCUUAACCUAACUCUGGAGAGCCUGUGUUCGAAUGUCCCCAU